rnacentral:rRNA from 1 species
CUACGGGAGGCUCCAGUGAGGAAUAUUGGUCAAUGGGCGAAAGCCUGAACCAGCCAUGCCGCGUGCAGGAUGACUGCUCUAUGAGUUGUAAACUGCUUUUGUACGGGAAGAACUCCACUACGUGUAGUGGGCUGACUGUACCGUAUGAAUAAGGAUCGGCUAACUCCGUGCCAGCAGCCGCGGUAAUACGGAGGAUCCUAGUGUUAUCCGGAUUUAUUAGGUUUAAAGGGUGUGUAGGCGGGAUAAUAAGUCAGUGGUGAAAUCCUACAGCUUAACUGUAGAACAGCCAUUGAUACUGUUAUUCUUGAGUAUAGUUGAGGUGGGCGGAAUGUGUUAUGUAGCGGUGAAAUGCUUAGAUAUAACACAGAACUCCGAUUGCGUAGGCAGCUCACUAAACUAUUACUGACGCUGAGGCACGAAAGCGUGGGGAGCGAACAGGGUUAGAUACCCUGGUAGUC